rnacentral:lncRNA from 1 species
AUGUAAAAAUUAAAUAUAAGAAUAGUGAAAAAACAUUUGAAGUUACUUAAAAACACCAAUUGAGGCGUGACAUUUUUAUUCACUGAAACGUUUCCCACCUAUUCGUUGGAUCCAUAAAUUUAAAGUAUCAAAAAAUGCAUUACAAUCACGACUACGUACAAAUAAAUGGAAUGUCACUUGAGAAUAAAGUGAAAAUUGAGGAAUACUACUCGACACAAUCUGGUUUACGAAUCAUAUUAGGAAAAACAAACAGUUCGAAAAUAUAUGGAUAUUUUACUGUAUUAACUGAAGCAGAAAACGAUGAAGGCCUCCCACAUACAUUAGAACAUUUAAUAUUUUUAGGUUCUGAACGUUAUCCAUAUAAAGGUAUGUUAGAUUUACUUGCAUAUACAUGUUUGUCGGAUGGAACUAACGCAUGGACUGCCAUUGACCACACAUGUUAUACAAUAGAAACAUUUGGAGAAGAAGGUUUCGGAACUAUAUUACCUAUUUAUUUAGAAUUCAUUUUAAAUCCUAGUUUAGAUAAUAAAAGAUUUUUAACUGAAGUACAUCAUAUAUAUGAAAAUGGAACACAUAACGGUGUAGUAUAUUCAGAAAUGAAAUCUAUUGAAAACAAUUGUUCUAAUAUAGUUGAACGUAAUCUACUAAUGAAUUUAUAUCCAAACAAAAAAAGUGGGUACCGUUUCGAAACGGGUGGCACACUUAGUGGGUUAAGAAAAACUAAUAAUGAAAGAGUAAAAAGUUAUUUUUCCAAGUUUUAUAAACUUAAUAAUCUUGCUAUUAUUAUUUUUGGUAACUUUAAUAGUAAUGAAAUUUUAAAUAAAAUUCAUCUUUUUGAGGAUUACCAUUUGCAUAAGAAUCCGAACCAGAUGUACCCCGACGUGUUUCAUGGUGGGAAAAUAGGAUCUAAGUUUGACUCUACACUUGCAAAUGAAAAAAUAGAAACAAGUAGCAAUGUUAACGACAAUAUAGCCGCUAAAGAUGCGAAUGGCUCGAGUGGUUCGAAUGGCUCGAGUGGUUCGAAUGACUUGAAUGGCUCGAGUGGCUCGAAUGGCUCGAAUGGCUCGAAUGGCGCGAAUGGCUCGAAUGGCGCGAAUGGCAAUAGAAAUAAUAAACGAAAACGAUUGGCAUAUGAAACAAUCAAAGAUAUGUUCAUGCGAGAUGUGAAUAAUACAGAGAGACCAUGGAAUAGCCAAGAUACAAUUGAAAAAAUGACAACCACAAAAAUUAUUAAAAAACACUAUCCUUGUAAUAAUUUGAGUAAUGGUCAAGUAAGUAUAGGUUGGAGGGGAUGUAAAUGGAAUGAUUUUAAAACCAAAACAGCUUUAAUAAUGUUAGGAAUUUAUUUAACAGAUUCUACAACUUCGCCUAUAUGUAAAAAAUUAAUGGAUGACCCAUAUAAUACAUAUUGUAGUAAUAUUGAAUUCACAUUAGAUGAUUUGAAAGAAAAUUACUUUUCUAUUGACAUUUAUGAUGUUAUUUUUAAAGAAGAGUUUAAUCAUAGAAAUUAUAAGAAUAAGGAUGACGGUCAGAAGAAUGAGGAGGUUGAACAUAUUGGAGCUCGCAUAUCUAGUGUCGUAAAAAAUGGAUCUGCAAUAAGUAGUAGAAAUGAUAGAGAUGCCGAGGUGACUAGAGAUGCCGAGAUAGCUAACAUAUCUACAUGUGACAAUACCAAAUUAGAUAAAACAGCACUCCCUUGCAAUAACAACAAUAAAAUAUUCACCGAUGAAACAAAAAUGGACAUAGUAGGUCAAUUAGCUAGAGAUUGUAUAAAAGAAGUUUAUCAAAACGCACUAAACAUGAAUCAAUUAAAAAAUAUAAUUUUCAGGUCCUACUUACAAUACCUUGAAAGCUUAGAAACGACUCCACAAGAAGUAUUAAAUAAGUAUCUAAUAACAUAUUUUAUAUAUGGUAAAAAUAUAACCGAUUUUAAUGAAUGUUUGGAUCAAAAACAUACAUAUCAAAGUUUAUUAAAUGAAGAUGAACAAUAUUGGAAAAAAUUAUUAGAAUCUUAUUUUUUAAAAAAUCCAUUUGUUGAAGUAAGAUGCUACCCAAGCAUCAGAAGAUCAAAACAAAUAGAAAAUUUUGAAAAAUGGUUAAUGCAAAAAGAAAAAAUACAUUAUGGAGAAGAAAAAUUAAGAAAAAUGGUCCAAUACAUUGAAAGUAUAAAAAAUGGUGCAUACGACAUAGCAUAUGACUAUUUACAAUCUAAUAUACCUGCAUCAGAUCCAAAAAAGGUAAUCUUAGAUGUUAUAACGAUUGUAAGAAAUUUUGGUACUGCAUCUGUUAAUGAGCAUAUUUCUAUAGAGUUUAAUCAAAAGUCAAAACAUGCAGAUGCGCCACCCGAAUCGAAUCAUUUGGACAUGCCACCCGAAUCGAAUCAUUUGGACAUGCCACCCGAAUCGAAACGUUUGGACAUGCCACCCGAAUCGAAACGUUUGGACAUGCCACCCGAAUCGAAACGUUUGGACAUGCCACCCGAAUCGAAACGUUUGGACAUGCCACCCGAAGCAACAGAUGUAGAUAAGUUAGCCGAAUCAAACCAGUUGUACGAUAUAACAAACAAAAUAAAAGAACUACCCAUACCGGUCCAAGUAAGCAUAACUUCAUCUAAAUUUGUCACAAUUGAUGUAUUUAUAAACACAAGUAAUAUUGAUAAAGAACUAAGAAAAUACAUUCCUUUGUUAAGCUAUUUAUUAUUCGAAACAGACAUUAAUGUGAAUGAUAAUAAUUUAAAAUGUGAAUUAUUUAUAGAAGAAUUAAUUAAAAAUACAAUUUCAUAUGACUGUUCUUAUGGAUUAGGUUGUGAUGUAGAAAAUUUUAAAUCAGAUGGGAUGAACAACAUUAUGGUAGUAGAACUAAGUGGACUAUUAAAAAAAUAUGACGCUUUAUUUGAUUUAAUACUUUUAUCUAUAUUUCACAUGAAUUUAACUAUGGAGCGAGUUAAACUAAUUAUGAAAUCAAAGUAUCAAAAUUUAAUACAAAAUAAAAAUGAUCC